rnacentral:rRNA from 1 species
UGAACGCUGGCGGCGUGCUUAACACAUGCAAGUCGAACGAACCUUCGGGUUAGUGGCGGACGGGUGAGUAACGCGUGAGAAUCUGCCCUCAGGAGGGGGAUAACAGCUGGAAACGGCUGCUAAUACCCCAUAUGCCGCGAGGUGAAAUGAAUUUCGCCUGAGGAUGAGCUCGCGUCUGAUUAGCUAGUUGGUGUAGGUAAUGGCUCACCAAGGCAUCGAUCAGUAGCUGGUCUGAGAGGAUGAUCAGCCACACUGGGACUGAGACACGGCCCAGACUCCUACGGGAGGCAGCAGUGGGGAAUUUUCCGCAAUGGGCGAAAGCCUGACGGAGCAACGCCGCGUGAGGGAUGAAGGCCUCUGGGCUGUAAACCUCUUUUAUCAAGGAAGAAGAUC